rnacentral:rRNA from 1 species
UACAAUGGAGAGUUUGAUCCUGGCUCAGGAUGAACGCUGGCGGUAUGCUUAACACAUGCAAGUCGAACGGAAAUCUUCGG